ensembl:misc_RNA Metazoa_SRP Metazoan signal recognition particle RNA
GCUGGGCACAGUGGCGUGUGCCUGUAAUCCCAGCUACUCGGGAGGCUGAGGCAGGAGAAUUGCUUGAACCCAGGAGGCGGAGGUUGCGAUGAGCCAAGAUCGCGCCACUGCACUCCAGCCUGGGUAACAAAAGCGAAACUCUGUCUCAA